rnacentral:rRNA from 1 species
UACGUAGGGUGCGAGCGUUAAUCGGAAUUACUGGGCGUAAAGCGUGCGCAGGUGGUUGCAUAAGCCAGAUGUGAAAGCCCCGGGCUUAACCUGGGAACGGCAUUUGGGACUGUGUGACUAGAGUACGGCAGAGGGGGGUGGAAUUCCUGGUGUAGCAGUGAAAUGCGUAGAGAUCAGGAGGAACAUCGAUGGCGAAGGCAGCCCCCUGGGUUGAUACUGACACUCAUGCACGAAAGCGUGGGGAGCAAACAGG